AAUUGGUCAUGGGGUGAUCCCUAA
rnacentral:siRNA from 1 species